ACGAAUUUCUGGAGUUCGAGUUCCGUCCCGAUGGCAAGCUCCGCUACGCCAACAACUCCAACUACAAAAACGACACCAUGAUUCGCAAGGAGGUCUUUCUUACCCAGGCCGCGCUCAAGGAGUGCCGACGCAUUAUUACUGAUAGCGAGGCAAGUGUCCCUUGCUACAUUUUUUUUUUUUUUUUUUUUUUUUUUUUCAUUAUUCUUUGAGGCUAUGUACAUUUCAAGGCAUGGUUAGGGUAGUACAUGUCAGUUUAGGGUUUGGGAAUAGUUCGCUGUUCUUGCGCGCUGGGUUUUUCCCCUUCUAUCUCCUUGGAGCUCUUUGAUAUAAGCCAUGUGGAUUAUAUUUUGCAAUGUGUCGGGCUGAUCACUCGCAACCCUGUGCUCCCAUUGUCUUGGGCUUUGCUUGAACCUUGGGACUCUCUAUGUUAGCUUAUUCAGUUUUGGUUCUUUCUCAAGUGGGCAUAGUGAAAUGCUGGAAGCAUGUUAGCAACUUGGCAAUUGUUAGGUAGUCGACCAUUUGGGUCCCCUGUUAUCUGAUCACUCUGAUGUUCAAUCCUGGAUCUUUUUGGAAGCGAGGUUGUUUAGUAAUGAAGAAUACAAUGUCACUGAUUAGAACACGGCUUUACUUAUCUUAGUGGAUGAACCUUACUCUAACUGCUCUUUCUUGGAUUUUUCAGAUAUUGAAAGAAGAUGAUAACAACUGGCCAGAACCUGAUAGAAUUGGACGACAGGAGCUCGAGAUUGUGAUGGGAAACGAGCAUAUAUCCUUCACUACAUCAAAAAUUGGUUCCCUUCUUGAUGUACAGAGCAGCAAGGAUCCUGAAGGUCUUCGGAUUUUUUACUAUCUUGUCCAGGUACGUUUAUUGAAGAAUUGUGUUACCUCUCUGUGCUGGACUUCAACGUGGCUUCAACUUUAGGGUAUCCCUUUUAACACCUGGAGGUCCUUUGCUUGAAAUUUACUUGAAGUAAUCCAAGGUAGAGGUGUUGUGCGUUGGGUUAGAGCCUGUGUAAGCCAAUGAUUGCCUUUUAACGCUGCUAUUUUGGCACUACUAUUUUGCAGGACUUGAAAUGCUUCGUUUUUUCGCUCAUCGGUCUGCAUUUCAAGAUUAAGCCUAUCUAAGUUUUGCUCCCAUGAUUGUUAUCAAUGGUGGAUGUCGGUGUAAUUUUCAAGGUUUUCAAGGCCACUGAAGUGGGCAGAGCAGUUCAUACGCAAGAACGUUUUGAUACCGUCAAAUUGCUACUGGAUGAAGAAUUGUGUCAAUGUGUGCGACCGGG
rnacentral:lncRNA from 1 species